rnacentral:rRNA from 1 species
UGGUCAGGUAGAGAAUACCAAGGCGCUUGAGAGAACUCGGGUGAAGGAACUAGGCAAAAUGGUGCCGUAACUUCGGGAGAAGGCACGCUGAUAUGUAGGUGAAGUCCCUCGCGGAUGGAGCUGAAAUCAGUCGAAGAUACCAGCUGGCUGCAACUGUUUAUUAAAAACACAGCACUGUGCAAACACGAAAGUGGACGUAUACGGUGUGACGCCUGCCCGGUGC